AUGUUUCCUAAACAACAUCACAAACAGAUAGGUCGAUGGAGCAGAGGACAAAGCACGACGGCUGGGAGGUGGUUACACGAUCCUGGCUUGAGGUUGUCGUGGUUAGGAGGAGUCACAGUGGUGGAAGCUGAACCGAGACUGUUCUCAUCGGUGGGCUCCGAGGUGGCUGGUGUGUUGGAACGGAGGGAGUCUCAUACCAGCGGGAGUGAGCCAUGUGUGAUUCGUGCAUGGCUGCAUGGGGCUGAGGGCAUGGAGGAUUCGGGGUUUUGA